ensembl:misc_RNA Metazoa_SRP Metazoan signal recognition particle RNA
GCUGGGAGCUGUGGCACUUGCUUGUAGUCCCAGUGCUUGGGAGGCUGAGGUGGAAGGAUCCCUUGAACCCAAGAGUUCUGUGCCACCCAGACUGACGAAUCUGCACUGUUUGGCAUCAAUAUGGUACCCUCCCAAGGAGCAGAGAACCACCAGGUUGCCUAAGGAAGGGUGAACUGGCCCAGGUCAGAGAUAGAGCAGGUCAAAACUCUCAUGCAGAUCACAAGUGGGAUUGUGCCUGUGAAUAGUUGCAGCCCUCCAGCCUGGGCAACGUAGUGAGACCCUGUCUCUA